UACGUAGGGUGCGAGCGUUGUCCGGAAUUACUGGGCGUAAAGAGCUCGUAGGUGGUUUGUCGCGUUGUUCGUGAAAACUCACAGCUCAACUGUGGGCGUGCGGGCGAUACGGGCAGACUGGAGUACUGCAGGGGAGACUGGAAUUCUUGGUGUAGCGGUGAAAUGCGUAGAUAUCAAGAGGAACACCUGAGGUGAAGACGGGUUGCUGGGCUGACACUGACGCUGAGUGCGCGAAAGCCAGGGGAGCAAACGGG
rnacentral:rRNA from 1 species